AUUGAACGCUGGCGGUAGGCUUAACACAUGCAAGUCGAGCGGGGUGAUGGUGCUUGCACUAUCACUUAGCGGCGGACGGGUGAGUAAUGCUUAGGAAUCUGCCUAUUAGUGGGGGACAACAUCUCGAAAGGGAUGCUAAUACCGCAUACGUCCUACGGGAGAAAGCAGGGGAUCACUUGUGACCUUGCGCUAAUAGAUGAGCCUAAGUCGGAUUAGCUAGUUGGUGGGGUAAGGGCCUACCAAGGCGACGAUCUGUAGCGGGUCUGAGAGGAUGAUCCGCCAAACUGGGACCGGGACACGGUCCAGACUCAUACGGGAGGCAGCAGUGGGGAAUAGUGGACCAUGGGGGGAACCCUGAUCCAGCCAUGCCGCGUGUGUGAAGAAGGCCUUAUGGUUGUAAAGCACUUUAAGCGAGGAGGAGGCUCUUUUGGUUAAUACCCAAGAUGAGUGGACGUUACUCGCAGAAUAAGCACCGGCUAACUCGGUGCCAGCAGCCGCCGUAA
rnacentral:rRNA from 1 species